GGGACUUCUUGUAUCCUUUUGAAUUUAAGCCACUACUGACCUUGAGUUAAAAUAGGUUGGAUGUAAUCCUCAGCCUCUAUUUCCAAUAACAUUUAGAAACAGUUAUGGCACUAUAACUAAAUAACUGAAAUAGUUCUCUCUUAUUUGGUACUUUUUGCUGUCAACAUAUGAAUUGGAAUUUGAAUUAGGUCUUCCACUUCUUAGAAACAAUCAGGAAGAAUUGAAGACAGCCACUUGUGAGGAAGGUGGAAGCUGAGCAAUAUCCUACCUAAGAUGUAUCUUGAAGCAUGGAAAAUCUGGAUGAGCAGCAACCAAUACAUUUAUAAACACAUUCUUCCCCUUGGAAGCUCACUAAGUUGGAGGGCUCACAUCCUGGAAAAUUAGAUUCUACUAUGACGGAUGGUGGAAGUAAAAAUGAGGGAUCUAUCCCUGUAACACAAACC